rnacentral:tRNA from 1 species
GGUGUAGCGCAGAUGGUAGCGCGCUUGCUUUGGGAGCAAGAUGCCGCAGGUUCAAAUCCUGUCACU